GAAUAUUGGACAAUGGGCGAAAGCCUGAUCCAGCCAUGCCGCGUGUGUGAAGAAGGUCUUCGGAUUGUAAAGCACUUUAAGUUGGGAGGAAGGGCUUUAGGUUAAUACCCUGAAGUUUUGACGUUACCAACAGAAUAAGCACCGGCUAACUAUGUGCCAGCAGCCGCGGUAAUACGAAGGGUGCAAGCGUUAAUCGGAAUUACUGGGCGUAAAGCGCGCGUAGGUUGUUCAGUAAGAUGGGUGUGAAAUCCCCGGGCUUAACCUGGGAACUGCUUUCAUAACUGCUGAGCUAGAGUACGGUAGAGGGUAGUGGAAUUUCCUGUGUAGCGGUGAAAUGCGUAGAUAUAGGAAGGAACAUCAGUGGCGAAGGCGACCACCUGGGCUAAUACUGACACUGAGGUGCGAAAGCGUGGGGAGCAAAC
rnacentral:rRNA from 1 species